UGCCUGGUUGACUUGAACCCCAUAAACAUGCUUGCCCCAGGCCCCAGCUGGUGAUUGUUCUCAUCAAAGGGGAGCUUUGGGGCGUGGCCUCCACUGGUUUCCUAGGGAACUAAUGAGCCAACCUAUAACUGGCUCAGUUAACUGGCCGCCUUGUCCUGCCUGCCAAACCCCUCGUCUCAUCGCUGGCUGGCUGGCUGCUGCACAACCUGAGAUGUCCUGCUCCACGACCUGCCUCAGACAUCUUCUUUGGGAUUUUUUAUGAAGACCAUCAGAUCAACUGCAAAUAGAGUGUAACCCGGCACAUCCCGAGAACGGUGCCCGUCACACGGGGCUUUGUGCUUGCACAUGUCUACAGGAAGUGACAGCUGCUUACAGCCCUGCUCACUUAUUUUUCUAUAAUGGAAUUUUUACGCAGAAAGAGAAGAAUUGUCUGGAUCACGAGUUGUCCAUUUUGCUGAGGCUGUCUUAAUAUCCAAAGACGCGAUGGGGUGGACCCAGUGCACGGAAGUGAGGGACCGAAUAAUCAUUUACUUGCUUGGCAGCUCUUUAUCGUGCAGCUCCCGGGUGCCAGCGGGUGUGCGCAGUGGGUGUGCAUGCUGCUAGGUGUGCAGUGGGGAGUCUGUGGUCUGGUGAUGAGGAGGGCCAUGGUGAAAUGCUGAAGGAGCCAAGAGCAGCAAAGAGCGGGAUGGGAACGGCAUUUGGACCUAUUGCGAUACUUACUAACCGAAUAGUAAUCUAGUCUUUGAAGGGAGAAAAGGGAAGUACAUUUAUCGAAUGUCUGCUUUAUGCAAAGCUCUGGGUGGGGAGCUCUACAAAUAAUCUAACAUCCUCAGAAAUUGUGGGUCCUGGCCCACAAUUUUAUUUUCUGCAGAUAAGUAAACUGAGAUUCAGGAAGUUAGCACAUUUGAUCAACAGGGACCUGCUGUGUAACAUAGGGAUCUGUACCCAAUAUUCUGUGAAAAUCGAUAUGGGAAAAGGAUCUGAAAAAGAAUGGAUGUGUGUUAGCUGUAACUGAAACACUCUGUUGUGCAGCAGACGUUACCCCAACAUUGUAAAUCAGCUAUAAUUCAAUAAAAAGUAAAACUAUAUAGAUGAAGCACUUCUUAUGCCCUAGUACACAUAUGAACUCAUUUAAUCCUUGUCAGACUGGGUAAAGGGGUACUACA